UACGGAGGGUGCGAGCGUUGUCCGGAAUCAUUGGGCGUAAAGGGCGCGUAGGUGGCGCGGUCAGUUCGUGGUGAAAGCGCGGGCUCAACCCCGCGUCGGCCAUGAAUACUGCUGGGCUGGAGCACUGUAGAGGCAGGCGGAAUUCCGGGUGUAGCGGUGGAAUGCGUAGAGAUCCGGAAGAACACCGGUGGCGAAGGCGGCCUGCUGGGCAGUUGCUGACACUGAGCGCGACAGCGUGGGAGCAACAGG
rnacentral:rRNA from 1 species